GUAGGUGAACCUGCGGAAGGAUCAUUAAUAAAAGGAUACCUUCGGGUAUACCCAAUCCGUGUCUAUCUACUCUCGUUGCUUUGGCAGGCCGUGGUCUCCCACUGUGGGCUCUGCCUGCAUGUGCCUGCCAGAGGACCAAACUCGGAAUUUUAGUGAUGUCUGAGUACUAUAUAAUAGUUAAAACUUUCAACAACGGAUCUCUUGGUUCUG
rnacentral:misc_RNA from 1 species